rnacentral:rRNA from 1 species
AAACUUUCAACANNGGAUCUCUUGGCUCUGGCAUCGAUGAAGAACGCAGCGAAAUGCGAUACGUAAUGUGAAUUGCAGAAUUCAGCGAACCAUCGAAUCUUUGAACGCACAUUGCGCCCGCCAGUAUUCUGGCGGGCAUGCCUGUCCGAGCGUCAU